AACGAACGCUGGCGGCAUGCCUAACACAUGCAAGUCGAACGAGACCUUCGGGUCUAGUGGCGCACGGGUGCGUAACGCGUGGGAACCUGCCCUUAGGUUCGGAAUAACUCCCCGAAAGGGGUGCUAAUACCGGAUAAUGUCUUCGGACCAAAGAUUUAUCGCCUUUGGAUGGGCCCGCGUUGGCUUAGCUAGUUGGUAGGGUAAAAGCCUACCAAGGCGACGAUCCAUAGCUGGUCUGAGAGGAUGAUCAGCCACACUGGGACUGAGACACGGCCCAGACUCCUACGGGAGGCAGCAGUGGGGAAUAUUGGACAAUGGGCGAAAGCCUGAUCCAGCAAUGCCGCGUGAGUGAUGAAGGCCUUAGGGUUGUAAAGCUCUUUUACCCGGGAUGAUAAUGACAGUACCGGGAGAAUAAGCGCCGGCUAACUCCGUG
rnacentral:rRNA from 1 species